AGUGGUUGUACAUAAUGAUACGUUUUAGUGUUGUAGUCGUACUGACAAAAAUGUUAUAUUGUAACGUCAUAUUUUAACUCAUUUGGAUAUUAUGUGUUGAAAUAUUCGUUACUAAAUUAACGAUGUACAAUCUGGGUGAUAUUAUAGAAGGAUUACAAGACAAUGAGUUUCAUGAUGAAAAUGAAGGUAAAUGUUUUAAUGUUAUGUAGUUACAUUUGACUGUAAUACGACAUACAAGUGUAAAUGUAUUACAUAUUCAUAAAUGUUUUUUGUUUGUUUGUUGGUGAACGAACUUUAUGAAUUUAUGUAAAAUAUAUGGCAUGUACAUUGUUUUGUACAUAUAAAUUUGGGAUGGGUAAGUCUUUGCAUUUGAAAUCGUGAAUACUGUCUGUGUAUUUUGAAUUGAAAUGUAUAUAUUACAUUAAUUUAAUUCAGUACACAAAAAAAAUAAGCUUUAAUUCUUUAAAAUUUGAAAUUUCCAUUACUGCAGACAUUUAAGCCCCCUUCUUAAUUUGUAUACUACCAUCCUUUGUAGCCAAACCCCCAACAUUUUAAAAUUUCAAGUCUUCAUUCUGUAAAUUCAACAAAGAGAAUGUUUUGUAUAUGAAUCACUGAACUCAAAAACCUUUAAUUUACAAGUACAAUAUACAUGUAUGAAAGAUAGACCAUUAUCAUAUAAAGUUCAUCGUUUAAUAUCACAAGAAUACAUGUACAACACUGCAUUUGCAUUUUCUAUAGUCAUGAUAGUUUAUCCCCUCUAAGUCUUUAAGAAUGAUGACAUUUUGUGUUGCCAAUUAAUCAUUGACAGAAGUUAUACCUGCUGUCUUUAAUUUUGUUUUGUUGGGAUACUGUCUAGUCGAGAUUACUCUCAUGUCCAAGGGCUGUUUUGUUGUCUGGCAAAACAGCCGUUGGAGUCAGAGUAAUCUCGGACUAGGAUACUGUCAUAUUGAAGUAUAUAGACCUGUUGGUGACCUUCUGCUGUUGUCUGUUCUAUGUUCGGGUUGUUGACUCUUUGACACAUUCCCCAUUCCCAUUCUCAAUUUUAUUAUAGUGUGCCUCUCAUCUCUUAUAUUUUUGAAAUCAGUGUUAGGGACGACAUCAAAAGAUCGAUGUAGGAUAAAAAACUUAAAUCAAAUAGUUUGGGAUUGGGGCUAAACAUUGCUGCAAGUUUUGUUAAUCCAAAAUCGAUUUUACAUAUAUCCAUAUAGGUAAAUCAAUUUUUCCCAAAUUAAGUUAAGAAGGGGGUGGGGGUCAGUGAAAAAACUGUGAGUUAAGUUUUUUUAUCCUACAUUGAACUUUUGAUGUCCUCUCUUAGUGCUCAAGCAUAGCUUUUUGCCUUGAGAUUCAAAAGUCUAUUGUGAAGACUAAUUUAAGAUAUUUAUCUAUUAAGGGACACAAUGUGGGGACGUGGGAUAAAGGGGAUAGCAAAGUUGGGAUGUACUGGAUGUGUUUUUAAGGGGGUAUAAAAGGCAGGAUCUUGGGGGAGAAAAAAAGGGCAAUUUACAAAAAAUUGAAAUUAGUGCAAGGAGCUUCCCUAUGUCACUGUCAUCCCCUCUUUGUAUGUCUAAGGAAGAGUUUAGAAAAUCGUGUAAAUGUUCAACCGAUGGCAGUGACAAACUGACUGAUCUUUCCUUGUAUGAUACACUUUAAACUUCAAUUGUUUGUUAUGAUUGUUAGAAAGAUCAGACAGGAACAUUCAUUAAGGAUGGGAUGUUAAUGUUUAAAACAUUUCUGAAAAAGUAAGAUACUGAGUAUAUAAAGUUAAGCAACAUAUAUGUUUUAAUUUAAAGAAUGUUGCAAAAAAUAAUUAGUUGAAAUAUUUUGGUCAAUUUAGAAUUACAUUAUUGUUAUUUAUACUAUGUGUUAAAAAUAAUUGAGUUAUUAAUUUAGUAAUAAAAAAAAUUGAAAUAUGAUUUUAAAAAUAUUCGUUGCUAAACAUUUUUCACUCAGUAUAGAUAUUUGUUUAUUUUGUUGUGCAGGGAUCCAUAUUAUUGCAAUUUUCUGGGUUAUGAUUUCAGAGUUGCAAGGAAUAAAAUAAACCAUAAUAUCUUUGUAAAACAUAUAUGCUGCCGUUUGUCAUUACUCAUUAGCUUUCAUUCAUAAUUUGGCAUAACUCAGUCUUAGUACUUUCACAUCUGGGACAUGUAUACAAAAAGAAUCAAAAUAUACCUCUUCUUAGGUAAUGUGAAGGUAUACAUUAUCACUGAACUAGUAUACAUAUUUGUUUAGGGGCCAGCUGAAAGGCGCCUCAGAGUUUGGGAGUUUCUCGCUGUAUUGAAGAUCCAUUGGUGGCCUUCAGCUGUAGUCAGCUCAAUGGUCAGGUUGUUGUCUUUUUGACAUAUUUCCUAUUUCUAUUAUCAAUUUUAUGGGUGGAAAAAAAUGACAUUUAACUCCCUCAACUGAUGGUGACCGACAGAUUAUUUGGUCAAUCUCAUAUACUAAAUAUAUGAAUUCUAUAUGAGGUUUUAAUUUAAAUAUAACUAACAGGAAACAAUUUAAUUUUAAGUACAUUUAUUUUUUGGCAACAUUUAUAUUUUAUUACAACAAGGAUGGUAUACAUUGUACAUAUGAUGUAUCAUACAUCAUGAUCAUAGGAAAAAAAUCAAUGGGAAAAAAAUUUGCAUUUUUUUAAUUGAAAAAAUAAAAUCAAGAAGGGUUAUCACAAAUUAUGGGAAAUAUGAAAACUUAACAGUGUAAUGAGGCACUUUUUUGUCUGUAAAAUUUGUUAUGUCUAUAGGAAUCUGAUUUGUUCAAUUAGCCUUGGUAUGCCACCCCCUCCUGAUAGAUCAGUGUUUAAAAUGGCCUUAUCACACAACAUAUCUUUCUAAUGUUGGUAGGUUGUUAGAAAUUUACAUGACUAGUGAAAAAAAUUGAGGGGCCUGAAGCUUAGUAUAUAUAUGAUACGAAAGUAUACUGUACUUGUGAAUUUCCUAUGCAUACUUUAAUAGUUGAGUUAGUAUGUUUUUAUAUGUUUCUUUAAUAUCAGAAGUUUUUUUUACUAAAUGUGUAUAUUCAUGGAUGUAAUAAACUAAAGCAUGUUUUAGUUAUAUAUAGAUGAUAAACUAGACCACUUUCCCCAGGAAAUACUUGAAUCUCUCUUUUCCUGACUACACAUUUAGUUUAGUAUUAUAUUAGUACAUUGAGUGCCAGUGGUAUAAAUCUGUUACAUUUAUUUUUCAACUUGUCAUUGAAGCUUUUUAUUUCUGACUAGUGAUUUGUCAGUUGUGUAACUCAUUCUAUGGUUGUUCUAUAUAAGAAUAAGUUUUAUAGAACCAUGCCCACAGUUGGUAUCUGGGGUAGACAUGGUAGAUGGACUUGAAAUAGCAAACCAGUUGUUUCGAAAAAUAUGAUUAUUAAUGAUUCUUUGCCCACCACCAAAGGGUGUGCUCUAAAUACUGUUUGAAAGGUCAAGGUCAUAAUGUUAGUCCAACUUACUAUGCCCAUAUUUAAAUUAUACAAAAUUGAGUGCCACUCAGUCUUCACAAUAGACUUUUAAAUCUAAAAGCUGGAAGCAAAUAAGAAAAUUUAAGUUAAUUUAUAUUGGCCUGUGGAGAUGAUUUUUAAAGGCCCAGCAGAAGUUUACCAAUCCUGUGCUUGUGAGGAUGUGGCUGAGCGCAGAGGGUGUCCACUGAGAAAUUUUGAAUGCGACAAAGGAUGUUUAAUUGAUACUUGGUAUACAUAUUAUUUGUUACCCACCACUAAAGAAUGUGUGAUCUAGCGACUCGUAAAGGUUAAGGUCACUGACAUAAAUUCAAAUCUGAAUCCAGUUUUAAUAAACUAUAAGAUAUAGAUUGUUUGUAUUUCAACUAUUUUAAGUGAAAACAACUUCUGAAAACUGUACAAUGUACUUGUAAUACCUACAGCCAGUAGGCAUGUUGUUUUAUACUAAUUAAUCUUUCCUGCAAUAUUACCUAAUUUCACAUAGUUUUGUUGUAUCUUUUGAUGUCUGCUUCACUGAAACAGGUCUGCAUAGAUCCCAGUCAGGAGCCUGUUAUUCCUGUCUUUGUUUAUGCAUAUAUUAUAUCAUACUUGUAUUUUGUUCAUUGUGUUGUUUUCUUUACACAAAUCAGGCCAUUAGUUUUCUUGUUUGAAUUGUUUUACAUUUAUCAUUUUGAGGCCUUUUAUUGCUGACUCUACGUUAUUGUUUUUUGCUCAUUAUUGAAGGCCAUACACAUUUACUAUUAUCAUGAUAUUUGUUGAUUUACAAAAGAAGUUUGAAAACAUUUUCAUGAUUUCAAUGCAGACUCUGUGACUGAUGUGUUUUUCAUGCAAGUAUUCGGUUAUCAAACAGCAUAACACUUCUAUACCUUAAGACUAUUUAACAUGAUCAACAGUUUGUUGGUAUGCCUUGACACCUCCCAUAGACCCUCUUUAUAUCCUACUGUUUUAUGAUUAUUCAUCAUUACUCCUUGGUAGAUGUUACUUUGAAGUGUCAUUCAUAGCUUUAAUACCACUUCAUUCUUUCAUCUGCCAAUCUUUCAUUUCAUUCAUUCUAAAAGGUCAAUUUGACUUUUAGUAAAGUCUUUAGUGAAUUGAAAGUACAUAGGAAAAAAAGAGAAUGAUAAGAGAGCAGAAUAACAGGGUUAGAAACAUCUUGAAAAUGUUGGAAAAAAAUCAUCAAUGAAUGAUAUUCUUGGAGGGAGAAGAGGAAGGGGGAGGGAUAUUUUAAAAAUUACAUAAUCUAGCCUAAUGAGACUUGAAAUAACAAUUACUUUGAGACUUAAUCUAGAUUGUCCAGUAUGGUCAAAUAAGGGUCAGAAACAUGUCACUGUGCUAUUAAAUAGUGUUCCCUUGCUGUAAUAUAUAAAAUUUACAAGAAAAAAAAAAAAAAGCCCCUCUCAUGAGGACCCUAGGAGGGUAAGGAGGGGGUGGAAGAUUUGAAAAUUAAAAUCUGGCCUUGUAAGAAUUGAAUUAAAUGAAUUAAAAGUAAUAAAAAGAGCAUGUAGAUAUAUAGCUAUAGGAGAGAGAAAAUGAUAAGAGAGCAGAAUAACUGGGUUAGAUACAUCUUGAAAAUGUUGAAAAGAAAUCAUCAAUGAAUGAUAUUCUUGGAGGGAGAAGAGGGGGGGGGGCAGGGAUAUUUUAAAAAUUACAGAAUCUAGCCUAAAGAGACUUGAAAUAACAAUUACCUUGAGACUUAAUCUAGAUUGUUAAGUAUGGUCAAACAAGGGUUAGAAACAUGUCACUGUGCUAUUAAAUAGUGUUCCCUUGCUGUAAUAUAUAAAAUUUACAAGAAAAAAAAAAUAAAAGCCCCUCUCAUGAGGACCCCCAUUAGGUUAGUAGUAUGUUAUGAUUACAUAUGAUAAUUACUCAGUAGCUGUAGCUUUGAAGUGUCAUUAGAGGUGGAAAGUUUAAUGAAUCAGCUGGGGAGUGUUCAUUUCAUUGUUUAUAAAUAUUAUAACAUGUAAUUGACAGAUACAGCAAGGGAGUGUUCAUUUCAUUGUUCAUAAAUAUUAUAACAUGUAAUUGACAGAUUAAAGCUAAUGACUUUUAUAUCUAUGUUGAUAGAUUUGUAAAUAUAUACAUAAAACAUUAAUAACAUUAUAUACCAUGCUGGGGGAAGGGCAUUUUCUCAUCAUUUCAACUACUCUCUAAAAGUGGUGUCGAGAUUCCCAAAUAUUUUACCCUGCACUUUCUUUCUAUUCAGGUUUUGAAUGUAAAUAUUGUACAAAGAAGAUUUACAUAUAAACAUAUUGUAUGUAUCAUGCUUGGUGAGGGGCAUGUUCAAAGCUCAUUUUUCAUCACCAUUUAGAAAUUUUUUGUUAAAAGUAUGUAGCAAACUUUUUACUCUGCAUUCUUUAUUUCCUAUCUUUUUUCCUCUGGUGCCCUUUUCUUCAUUUAUAUUAUAUGCUUUACGACAAUAAUGGCCUUGGUAAAUUGUAUAAAUCUUGUCAUUUUGAUUUGAUUGAAUUCCUGUUUUAAAAAAAAACCAACCAAACUUGUGGUAAACUAUUCUAAACAAGCAAGGUGUAAAUUUUAAUCUAUAUAAACCUGUGUUUUUGCAUUCCAUGUAUUCAAUUCAACUCCGGGUGCGAGAAUUUCUCGUUGCAUUGAAGACCUGUUGGUGACCUUCUGCUGUUGUGUGCUCUAUGGUCGGGUUGUUGUCUCUUUGGCACAUUCCCCAUUUCCAUUCUCAAUUUUAAUUCAAGUUUAAACAUGUAUAUCAUACUUGAGUGUUUGACUGGCAGCAGCAUGGCAGGAAAUACAUGUAUGUGGUUAUUAAAAUCACAUGUUGUAUUGCAGUAAAUUGUACCAAGGAAGGAUGAUAGACUUAUUUAAUAAAGCUGCAAUUUGUAUAUUACAGAUUUUAAGCUGAGGAAGCCAGGUUUAUGUUUUUUUAGUGAGGUUCAUUUCGCUUAGUCUUUAGAUUUCUAUGUAGUGUGGACAGACUGUUAUUUUUUUAGUGCUAUAUUACUAGCAUUGUCAGUUAUCCUGCUCAAGGUCGUUGGUUCUUCAAGGGCACUCUGGCUUCCAACAAAAAAAGUAGAUCACCACCUGACCACCAUUUGCCAUAGUGCUGAAGUGGCUUUAGGGAGCUACCAUUUGAUUUUUAUAGGGGGGGGCUAGGAUGAAAUUUGAAAAAAAUAGGCAGGACAGGAGUUUGAGUUAAAAAAAAAGCAGAUGAGAACUGCAAAAAAAAAGUCAGGACGACAUUUAGGUGAAAAAAAGGGUCAGGAAAUAAGGACUAAAAAAAAAAAAAUGCAGGACAAAUUUUUCAUCCUAGCCCCCCCAUAAAAAUCAAAUGGUAGCUCCCUUAAACACUUCCAAUCAAUCAAUCACAUUUUUGUACAUCAACUUUUUUCUAUCAUACAAACUUGUUGUUUAUAAAAUCCACAAAUCAGUAGACUAAAACAUGCUACAGGGCACAUCAUAAAGUUUAAUCUGUUAAUUUUGCACUCCAUGUAUCCUUGAAGGAGGCAAGCCAGUACAUGUUCACAUAUUUGAGUGUUUGACUAGCAGGGAAACAUGUGGUUUUAAAGUCACAUGAUAUUUAUGCCAUAAGGUUUAGUCACAUGAUAUUUUACCAUUCUAUACCAUCUUACAGAUGGUGAUGAGUUCUAUAAUUAUACAAUAAUGUCAUCUUACAUGUGACAAAUGAUGUCUAGGAGUACAAAUGUAGUUUGUACUGUGAUUUAUUGAGGGAUGUUGUGACUUAUUGAUACUUGAUCAUUGAUCAUUGACAAAUGUACUUAAACAUACAAAAAAAAAACUUUUUCUAUCGAUUUGAAAGAAACAUACAAAAAAAUCCACUUUUUCUAUCGAUUUUGAAAGAAACAUACAAAAAAAAAGCACUUUUCCUAUUGAUUUUGAAAGAAAAAUAUACCAGUUAAGGUGUUACAUGUACCAAACACCUCUUCUAAAAUAAUUUGGCUCGUAUAACUUUUAUAAAAUUUUGACAAAUAUUUGCUCUGACCAUUUGCUGACCAAAAAAAAAUCAAAAAAAUCAGAAAACGCGAACCACAUUAUCAUGAUGUGUAUUAGAUAUGAAUUAAGUGGAUGUCUCAAGAAGACCUGUUUUAGGAGAUCUAUGUCUGUAUCUGUUUCGUUUUUUUGCGAUUUUGGACAGCUGCCUACCUUACUUUUCAAUCAUUUGUUCCAUGGCUUAUGUGAUCAUAUGGGAAAAAGAACUGAUCUACGAAGAUAUGCAGUUGUCCUAUGCCUUCAUUUAUUCAUAUGAGAAAAAGAACUUGUUUCUUUGAUGAUAUCAGGUGUAACACUUUUUUGAAUAGUUUGAUAAAAGUACUAAGAUGUGUUGUCAGACUCCUGUCUUCCCAACAUUUGCUCCAUAUAUUUUAUAUAUUCAUAUAUAGAAAAAAACAAAUUGUUUACGAAGUUGUGCAUUUGUACCAGGCCUUUAUUUAUUCAUAUGGGGAAAAGAAACUUUUUUCUACAAUGAUAUUCAUUUGACCCAGGCCUUUAUUUAUUCAUACGGGGAAAAUAACUUUUUUUCUACGAAGUUGUGCAUUUGUACCAGGCCUUCAUUUAUUCAUAUGGGAAAAAGAAUGUUAUCUUUGUAACAGGUUUUUAAAUAGCAAGGUAAAACCUGUUUUACUUAUACAUGUAUGCAUUUGAUAUGCCUUUUAAGUUUGCUUUAGUUUAUCUCUGCUGUAAGGCUCCUGUCUUUCCAACCUUUGUCCUAUGCCUUGGACAUGUAUAUUCAUAAAUCGAAAACUUUUUUUAUACAAUAAUAUGCAUUUGUUCUAGCUAUAUAGGCUGCCUUUUAUUCAUAUGGGAAAAAUAACUUGUUUCGUUUGAUGAGAUCAGGUGUAACAGUUUUUUAAAUAGCUACGUUUAUCAUCUAAAACCUGUUUGACUUUGUGAGUAAUCUGAUGUGUUGUUAAGAUAACGGUUUAUCUAUGUUUCAUCUUCGUAUUGUACAUAUAUACUUUGUCAGCUUUUUAAAAUUUAUUCGAUAACAUAUGUCGAAUGAUGGAAAAACAGAGAACAUCGGACAAUUUAUUGUAUUACAUGAAUUUUUUUUUUUUUAAUAUAUUUUAAUAUUAAAUUGGACAAUGUUGGAUGCAUGGAAGUUGCAUUACAGAAUUAAAAAAAUUUAUGUUGUAGUUGGAUGGAUGAAAGUUUUCAUGAUUUUGCUGAUGUUCAGAUUUUGACAUUCGGUUUUAUGACACCUUUUGUACCUUCACCUAUGUAAUAUAUAAUUGUUGCAUAAUAAUGAAGAGAAAAUGAAAAAAAUAUUGAAACUUUGGCUUUCGAAUAGUAAAACUUAUGCAUGAUCUUAAAGGCUUUCUAUUGAGGAUAUUGUGAAUUCUUUUUAAGGUGGUACCCAACACUUUCCUAAAUUAAUUUGCUCGUUAAUUUCAUAAAUUUUGACAAGUAUUUACUUGACCUUUAACCAAAUAUAAAAUUUCAAAAAUUUGAACAACCAUUUUAUCAGAAACUUACGUUAAUAGCAGAUUCACAACACCAACUGAUCAUUGAAAGCUUAAAUUCCCUUUCAACACAACAUUAUUAAAACUUUGCUGGAUUUUACAGAGUUAUCUCCCUUAGUGUUAGGUACCACCUUAAGGUCAUUGAAAACACAUUACACUAGACAUUUAGCAACAACCAAUAAAUCUAAAAAAAAAACAUUUUUGAGCAACUGCAACCAAUAUAAAAUCAAAAAGCUUAAACUUUUAAGGAACCAAUAAUCAACCAAAAAGUAUAAACUUUAAGCAAGAAACAAUCAAAUCAACCUUUGUGUGUCAAUAGUUGAAGACUUUAUGUUGAUAUCUUUGGUUUUUGUCCUGUGUGUUGUCUUAUAGGUUAUACCCCAAAUUUCACAUAAAUGGCACCCUAUUUGAGCAUCACAUUCAAAUUCAUAUAAAAAGUCCACCAACAGUGGUAUCAACCUAAUGGUAAUGCUGUAAAAUAUGAAAGCGAAACAUGCCAAUCUAACAUGAUCUUAUAAUAGAAUUACAUUUACAUGUACCUCAGACGGCUGAUGAAUUGACAUGUAGUGUUACUAAAUUGAACAUCUGGUUAAUUAAGAUUACAACAAUUAUAGGAUCAUGAUGGAAGAAUUACUUCUAGAUUUUAAGAAAUUAGUCUUAUUAGAAUGUGUUUUCAUGUAUUUUGCAGGUGACAUCACGCAAAACAAGCUACGAUAAGAAAUUAGAAUGUGCUUUCAUGUAUUUUUCAGGUGACAUCACACGAAAAGGCUAUGAUAAGAAAAGAUCACGUUUGCUGAACCCAUAUGUCAACAAAAGUCCACCUCAACAAACUUCUGG
rnacentral:lncRNA from 1 species